UUGGUCGACGCGAUUUGCAGCGCCGGAGGACCGCACCGCGCACACUGCAACGCUGGUUCUCGGCUUUCACCACAGAUGGCUCUGCCAGCUGUCUGCGACUACCUGCAACCGGUCAGCACAGCUGUCGGUCUUGUUACCGCUGUUGUGCUGCUGGGGGUCGGGGUGGACAUGGCGUACCACGCCCACUGGGCGGCCGUCGUAACGCUAGGCUCUUUCUUGGUGGUUCUGGUGCCUGGAAGGCAUGUCCGUGCCCGAGGCCUGCUGUCCAACUUCACCUCAGG